UACGUAGGGACCAAGCGUUGUUCGGAUUUACUGGGCGUAAAGGGCGCGUAGGCGGUGCGGUAAGUCACUUGUGAAAUCUCUGAGCUUAACUCAGAACGGCCAAGUGAUACUGCAGUACUAGAGUGCAGAAGGGGCAAUCAGAAUUCUCGGUGUAGCGGUGAAAUGCGUAGAUAUCGAAGAGGAAUACCGAUGGCGAAGGCAACCGUCUGGGCCUGAACUGACACUGUGACACGAAAGCGUGGGUAGCAAACAGG
rnacentral:rRNA from 1 species